rnacentral:rRNA from 1 species
GACGAACGCUGGCGGCGUGCUUAACACAUGCAAGUCGAACGGAAAGGCCCUGCUUUUGUGGGGUGCGCGAGUGGCGAACGGGUGAGUAACACGUGAGUAACCUGCCCUUGACUUUGGGAUAACUUCAGGAAACUGGGGCUAAUACCGGAUAGGAGCUCCUGCUGCAUGGUGGGGGUUGGUAAGUUUCGGCGGUUGGGGAUGGACUCGCGGCUCAGCAGCUUGUUGGUGGGGUAGUGGCUUACCAAGUCUUUGACGGGUAGCCGGCCUGGGAGGGUGACCGGCCACAUUGGGACUGAGAUACGGCCCAGACUCCUACGGGAGGCAGCAGUGGGGAAUAUUGCAAAAUGGGCGGAAGCCUGAUGCAGCAACGCCGCGUGCGGGAUGAAGGCCUUCGGGUUGUAACCCGCUUUCGCCUGUGACGAAGCGUGAGUGACGGUAAUGGGUAAAGAAGCACCGGCUAACUACGUG